rnacentral:rRNA from 1 species
CUACUACAUCCAAGGAAGGCAGCAGGCGCGCAAAUUACCCAAUCCCGACACGGGGAGGUAGUGACAAUAAAUACUGAUACAGGGCUCUUUUGGGUCUUGUAAUCGGAAUGAGUACAAUUUAAAUCCCUUAACGAGGAACAAUUGGAGGGCAAGUCUGGUGCCAGCAGCCGCGGUAAUUCCAGCUCCAAUAGCGUAUAUUAAAGUUGUUGUGGUUAAAAAGCUCGUAGUUGAACCUUGGGCCUGGCUGGCCGGUCCGCCUCACCGCGUGCACUGGUCCGGCCGGGCCUUUCCCUCUGCGGAACCCCAUGCCCUUCACUGGGUGUGGCGGGGAAACAGGACUUUUACUUUGAAAAAAUUAGAGUGCUCAAGGCAGGCCUAUGCUCGAAUACAUUAGCAUGGAAUAAUAGAAUAGGACGUGUGGUUCUAUUUUGUUGGUUUCUAGGACCGCCGUAAUGAUUAAUAGGGACAGUCGGGGGCAUCAGUAUUCAAUUGUCAGAGGUGAAAUUCUUGGAUUUAUUGAAGACUAACUACUGCGAAAGCAUUUGCCAAGGAUGUUUUCAUUAAUCAGGAACGAAAGUUAGGGGAUCGAAGACGAUCAGAUACCGUCGUAGUCUUAACCAUAAACUAUGCCGACUAGGGAUCGGACGAUGUUACAUUUUUGACGCGUUCGGCACCUUACGAGAAAUCAAAGUGCUUGGGCUCCAGGGGGAGUAUGGUCGCAAGGCUGAAA